CUCACUGCAUCCGAUCCUGCUUUGUUUUCAUACCUAUUGCUCUGCUGCGGAGUGCCUGGCUGGAGGCCUGAUGGGUUCCUAGACUGAUCCUCAACAAACAAAGCCCCUCCACUGCUCCAGCCAACUUUUACAUCUGCUUCAGCAGCCUUCCCUGUGUGUUUUGCACUUGUGUGAGAAGUAAAACAGAGGAACCACUACCUGCUCUAAUGUCCAUAUUUGUUUAACACCAUGUGUGGAUAUUUAGGUUUCAUGCACGUAGAGUGGGAGUACUUUUGAGCCAGGCCCUGGAUAUAGGCUGUUGAGGAAUGUAGAUUUCCUUCUGGAGAAGCAAUGAAGUGACUCCCAUCAAAUUCUGGACUGUCAGAAGAGCACAGUGCGUGUGAUAUUUCAGGGCUCUGUACAGAAAUCUAUCUUGUAAAUUUCUAUAGGGGCAUUGUUAUACAGCAGAGUGAAAUCUGUGCAAUAUAAUUCAGCAAAUUAAUACUGAUGCUAAGAAUUUAACCAGCAGUUCAGAGAAGAAUAUAAAGACUCUUGAGAAAUCCAUGAGUGCAUUACAUUCAAGUGUUACUAUUUACAUUUUUCAAAUUCAUGACUGCAAAGAGAAUGUGCUCUACACAGUUCUUAUCCUUCUUAUGUUCCUUUGUUCUCACUGUAUCUAUUGUCAGCAUCACUGCACAUUUUGAAAAGUUUUCAUCUAUCCAAGGGAAGGUGAGGGUAAUUGAAAAUUUAAAAGGAAGCUCUAGCAGGUCAUUUAAAUAUGUUGCUAUAUUUGUUUCCUAUUAUAUUGUGAUUGUUAUUAUAUUGAUAUUAUAUAUAUAUUCUUAGAUUGUUAUUAUUAUAUAGGAAUUGGAGCCGCAUUUAGCUAUGUAUUAUACUCGCAUAUAAGGAUGAUAUUCCCUGCCCCAAAGACCUUACAAUUUCCAUAUAAGUAGAGACACAGCAGGCAGAAACUACGAACAGAUGGAAAGAGCACAAGGUAGCCAUGAGUCAAUUGUUAGUGUAAUUAACAACAGGCACAGAACACUGGCUGCCUACUAAUCAUUUUGCAGGCAUCAUAGCAGAGGUGAGAUUUAAGGAUAAUGGUGGGGUGGUUUUGCAGUAAGGCUUCUCUCAUAUAUAACUCAUAUAUAAAAGGCAUAAUGGGAAGAAAAUUAGAUAUACUGCCACAAGAGAUAGAGCAGAGUUGGAAGUCAACAUCCCAGCAGUGUAUUAGAGAUAGGGAGCAUAAGGGAUGUGGAGUCUUGAAAGUUCAGACACAUAGUCACUGGAAAUCCUAAGCGAUUAAGUUUGGACUUUCUCCAUUUUCUUACAGUGCCUCAUAACUGAGUCCUAUUAGACCUAUACCUCUUUAAAAUAUCCUAAUGAUUAUAGGAAAUAAAUAUUUACAAUCUCUUUUUCCUAAGGCAACCUUUAUUAUGCAGUCACUACAGUGCUUUCCUUCCACUGGUGCUCCUACUUUGCAAGGAAUUACCCUUAAGUAGGCAAAAAGGGUGAAAUACUUGAGAACCCAGAGGUAAAAUGCAGCAGCAGUUUGACUUCUGAAAGGAAUACACUUUCUGUGUAACAGAACCAAGCUAACCAGGGACAAACUGUUCCCAACAGAAUAGAAAAGCAGGAGGCAUUUUCUCUAUUCAAAAAUUCUGGUUACCAGGAUGUAUUUACAAUUGAUCUGCUACAGCCUAGAUUCUGUUCAUUCUGUUGCAUGUAAGAGCUGGUUCUAGGAGCUUAUAACUCAUCUGUUUAAAAUAUUAAAAAAGGA